rnacentral:lncRNA from 10 species
CGGCAAUACAGAACUCAGGGAAAUGCUUUACUUGUGUUUAACAGUUUAUUUUAAGGCUACUACAAAGGAUACAGAUGAACAACAGCCACAUGAAGGGGUACCUGGGGCAAGGUCCAGAAGCAUCCUGAGCACAGGACUUGCUGACUUCAUAAAGCUGGAGUGCGUCACCUUCCUGGCACAUCAAAAUGUUUGCCAACCCUGAAGCUCCCUGAACUCCAUAGUUAACGGAUUAUGUCUUGUUGACAUAGGCCUGAUGGAUUAUUGACACAAAUCUCCAGCCCCUCUCCCCUCUCUGGAGGUGGGAGACUGAAAGUUUGAAACUUCCAAUCAUGAUGUGGUCUUUGUGAGCAGCCCCCAUCCUGAGUUAUCCAGGUGCCCAUCAAGAGUGACCUCAUUAGAACAAAAAAUUCUCCUAUCACUGGGAAAUUUAAAGGAAUUUAGGAGCUUUGUGUCAGGAACUGGGGUCAAAGACCAAAUACUAGAACAAAAGAUGUACUCCAUCACUUUGGAAAUUACAAGGGUUUUAGGAGCUCUGAACAAGGAACUAGAUAGGAAGAUCAAAUAUAUAUUUCUUAUUAUAUCACAUUAUCACAUCAACUCAAUGUACAUUUAUUACACUUUCAUUACAGGUUGAAGUUUACAGACUGGUGUACACUAAAUGCAUUUCAGGGAACAAUCACUAUAAUCACAUUGCAAUUACAAAGC